rnacentral:lncRNA from 1 species
GAUAAAAAAAUUUGUUCAAUCCUAAGUCAGGUUGAGCUGAGUAGAUCAUUCAGCUCAUGGCCCUUUAUUAAAAAGAAAUAAAAAGACAUAAACAAGUUGACUAUAUAUAAAAAGAGCUGUAAUCAAAUUGAAUUAAGCUUAAGCUCAAGCUCAAGCUCAAGCUCAACUCGAAAUUCAAAGUUUAAUAAUUGACUUAAAGCUCAAUUUGACAUUUAUUUUUAAGUUUGAGCUUGAUUAAACUCUUACAUAUUUAAGCUCAAACUCAACUUUAAGUCCAAUUUAAAAAUUAAACUUAAGGUUAAUAAUAUAUAUUAAAAAUAAUAACGUAAAUAUUUAAAAUAUAUAUUUAAAUUAAAAAAACUCAUAAAUAGAAUAUUACUAAACUUGAAUUCAAACUUAAUAAAUAUUUUAAUUAAAUAUAAAUAAUUUACGAUGACUUAGUAAGAUAAAUUUUCUGAAAGAAAAUCAAUUCCUUCCUUCCUAUCAGAUAAAAUUCUUUUAAUUGCAAUUAUACUUGUUCAAAGGUUAGUUUGAUAAGAUGGAUCGGUUGUGCCAAGAGUGCUAUUUUUUAAUAAUAAAAAAAUAAUUUAAAUUUAAUUAAAAAAAUAUAGAAAUAUUAAUAGUAUUUUUAAAAAAUGAAUCUGCAUAGUGAGAUGGAGUCAGAGCGAUUGGUCUGAAGUAAAAACGAGGCGAGAGUAAAAAAAUGGAAGCAACGACCCCACCCCAGAACAAAUUUAAGUGCAAUAUAAUAUUAGUGAAAUUAAAAGUAAGGCAUCCGGCGAAUGAACGUUGAAUGAUAAACAAAUGGCAUGCCAUUCACAGUGGAAUUAAACAAAUCAAUCAAAUCUUUAUUAUAUUAUAAUAGGGUUGUUAUUAAAUAGACCAACCAUGAUCUAGCAUGCUCCUUUAGUUGGUUGCAACUUCCACCACAUCCUUCCCUUCAAUCUAUUACAUCAUGUCUAGAAGGUGUUAUCUUAUUAUAAUCGCAUUAAAACUUAAUUAUUUAUAUUAUCAUCAUAUUAUUUGGCAAUAUGAAAAGUAAGGUGAUUGCCUUGUCUAAUCUUAUUUUAAUUAGUAGUGUGUGUGUGAUGUUGCCACUUUCCUAAUCAUGUAUAAUUAUUGUUAAGACUGUGAAAUGAAGAUCAUCGCUUGUAUCAUUAUUUGCUUCAUAUCUUCAAACAAUAUAAUAAAGUUAGAAUCUUUGAACAAUCAAGUUUCUUUUUUAUGUAUUUCCUUCUUUGUUUAAACACCUCAAUAAAGGACUUCCUGUAAAACCAUGCCUAAUAUUCUCAGUUAUUAAAUAUUUUUAUUGCAUCUCUUUUUCCCUAUCUUUUCCACGUGUGUGUGUGUGUUUUUUUUUUAAAUUUUGGAUUGAUAGUUUUUCCUGAACAAGGGUGAAACGCUUGUUAACCGCGUAAUUAAAUGCUAAACACUAUAUAUAGGGUAGCCUAACCCUAAUAAUUAAGGACCUUAAUUGUAUUUUAAAUAUUAAAAUAAAAAUUAGGACGUUUUUCGAAGUAUGUGUUUUGUUUCUCCUAUUGAAAUCUUAUGUCGAAAUAUAAGUAUCAGGUGCUUGUAAUGACAAUUCAAUAGACAACAUUUGGAUUGAAUUGAGAAUUUACUCUUUUGUUAAUCAAUAAGAACUUG